rnacentral:rRNA from 1 species
AGUGAACGCUGGCGGUAGGCCUAACACAUGCAAGUCGAACGGCAGCACAGUAAGAGCUUGCUCUUACGGGUGGCGAGUGGCGGACGGGUGAGGAAUACAUCGGAAUCUACUUUUUCGUGGGGGAUAACGUAGGGAAACUUACGCUAAUACCGCAUACGACCUACGGGUGAAAGCAGGGGAUCUUCGGACCUUGCGCGAUUGAAUGAGCCGAUGUCGGAUUAGCUAGUUGGCGGGGUAAAGGCCCACCAAGGCGACGAUCCGUAGCUGGUCUGAGAGGAUGAUCCGCCACACUGGAACUGGGACACGGUCCAGACUCCUACGGGAGGCAGCCGUGGGGAAUAUUGGACAAUGGGCGCAAGCCUGAUCCAGCCAUACCGCGUGGGUGAAGAAGGCCUUCGGGUUGUAAAGCCCUUUUGUUGGGAAAGAAAAGCAGCAGGUUAAUACCCCGCUGUUCUGACGGUACCCAAAGAAUAAGCACCGGCUAACUUCGUG